rnacentral:misc_RNA from 1 species
UUAUGGACAAGUAUAGUGCG